UUUUUUGUUGUAAAACCUCUGUUUCUUGUAGUGUAUGUAUGAUCAGUACAUAUGACGAUGUAUAUUAAUAUAUGUGUGUGUAGGCAAAGCGGCGCAACAAGUGAAGGUCCCUGUGCCAGAAGGAUGCACUGAUCCUUCAGCAGCAAACUAUGAUCCCACUGCAAGGAGUGAUGAUGGAAGCUGUCAAUACCAGUUGGAGUGAUGAUGGCAAGUAAUCAUAUCUAUCACCAUCGCUAUCACCAUCACCAUCGUCAACAUAAUGGACUUCUUCCCUGCUUAAUAUGUAACUAUUUAUGUGUGUAUUCACCCCUUUGAAUUUAUCUGUAUAUGCACCAUUUGUAACAUUUACUGAAUUGCAAGUUUCAUGCAAUAUAUAAUUGUAUAUCUACCUUGAGUAGUUUCCUCUCGUUAUCUCCCUACCUCCGGGGAUCGUCGGAUUGAAUACAAAUCUCAUCUUCCUAUCAU
rnacentral:lncRNA from 1 species